rnacentral:lncRNA from 1 species
AGAGUCGACUCUUGCUUUCUCUGGAGUCGACUUGCCACCUAUCGGAGUCGACUCGCGUUCCACUGGAGUCGACUCGAAUCUCAGACCCAAAAACUGUUCUCUGACUUUUCUGCCUGUGAGUGCUUGGAGUCGACUCUUACUUCCUUGGAGUCGACUCGGUGAACAUCGGAGUCGACUCGCGCACUUCGGGAGUCGACUCGCUGACAGGUUCUGAGUUGAAGCUUUCUGUUGUUCUGUCUGUUCUCAGUCGGAGUCGACUCGUACUUAUCUGGAGUCGACUCUCGUGCCAGUGAACUUGAUACGCUUGGAGUCGACUCGUGAUACUCGGGAGUCGACUCGAGUCUCAGACAUUGGUUCAAACAGACUCCUUAACUUAUCCAAAAAUUAUGAACCAAGUCUUGGGACACUUAGACAGGAUUUUUACUGAAACACUCAAUUGAAUUCAUUAGUAAUCAAAAGAUAUACUCAAAUGCUUUGAGCUCAUCAAAAUCAAAUGGGGUUUUAAUCAAUCACUCCACAAUGAGUCCUUUUGAAGUGGUGCAUGGAUAUAAACCUAGGCAACCCAUAGACUUGAUUCCCAUGUCUCAUCAACAU